rnacentral:rRNA from 1 species
UACGGAGGGUGCAAGCGUUAAUCGGAAUUACUGGGCGUAAAGCGUGCGCAGGCGGUUUGUUAAGUCUGUUGUGAAAUCCCCGAGCUCAACUUGGGAAUUGCAAUGGAUACUGGCAGGCUGGAGUAUGGUAGAGGAAGGUGGAAUUCCGGGUGUAGCGGUGGAAUGCGUAGAGAUCCGGAAGAACACCGGUGGCGAAGGCGGCUCGCUGGGCAGUGGCUGACGCUGAGGCGCGACAGCGUGGGGAGCAAACAGG